AUUGAACGCUGGCGGCAUGCUUUACACAUGCAAGUCGAACGGGGUGAAGGGGCAACUCUUCAUUCAGUGGCGAACGGGUGAGUAAUGCAUCGGAACGUAUCCCGUAGUGGGGGAUAACCCAGCGAAAGCUGGGCUAAUACCGCAUAUGCUCUACGGAGGAAAGUGGGGGACCUGCAAGGGCCUCACGCUAUGGGAGCGGCCGAUGUCCGAUUAGCUAGUUGGUGGGGUAAUGGCCCACCAAGGCGACGAUCGGUAGCUGGUCUGAGAGGAUGAUCAGCCACACUGGGACUGAGACACGGCCCAGACUCCUACGGGAGGCAGCAGUGGGGAAUUUUGGACAAUGGGGGCAACCCUGAUCCAGCCAUGCCGCGUGCGGGAAGAAGGCC
rnacentral:rRNA from 1 species